CCUACGGGAGGCAGCAGUGAGGAAUAUUGGUCAAUGGACGAGAGUCUGAACCAGCCAAGUAGCGUGAAGGAUGACUGCCCUAUGGGUUGUAAACUUCUUUUAUAAAGGAAUAAAACGAGGCACGUGUGCCUUUUUGCAUGUACUUUAUGAAUAAGGAUCGGCUAACUCCGUGCCAGCAGCCGCGGUAAUACGGAGGAUCCGAGCGUUAUCCGGAUUUAUUGGGUUUAAAGGGAGCGUAGAUGGGUUGUUAAGUCAGUUGUGAAAGUUUGCGGCUCAACCGUAAAAUUGCAAUUGAUACUGGUAGUCUUGAGUACAGUUGAGGUAGGCGGAAUUCGUGGUGUAGCGGUGAAAUGCUUAGAUAUCACGAAGAACUCCGAUUGCGAAGGCAGCUUACUAAACUGCCACUGACAUUGAUGCUCGAAAGUGUGGGUAUCAAACAGGAUUAGAUACCCCAGUAGUC
rnacentral:rRNA from 1 species